GCCAGGGUGGCAUAGCGGUUAGUGCUUCUGCCUACUGAGCAUAAGGCCUGGGUUCGAACCCCAGCCUUGAUA